AAUUGGGGAUAAAUGGAAUUUAUAAAAUUCCAGAGGUUAUAUAAAUAUUGGCUGGAAUGAUCUCCCAGAAAAAAUUACAUAGCCUACAACAUCUUGGAUGAGACAAUUAUCUCCUCCGACUGGUUUAUAAGAAACACAAAUGACUUAAAUGAUAGGAUAUAUUGUAGAUAUAUAGAUAACAUAUAUGUUUAUUACACUGACUGCACUGAGCAAAGAAGGAUUAUAUGUGAGAAGUUGGCUAAUCCAGUGAAGAUUGAGAGUACACUAAUGAGUGAAGUACCAGAUGGAAGAAUGUAGUCGGUGCAAUUAUUUUGCCUCAGCUAUUAUCCUGCAAUUAAGGGCAACUUCAGGGAGCAUAUAUCUUGUGGACCACACAAAUGGAAUAUAGAUGCUAUAAGACUAAAUUUUUGCCUCUCUCC